rnacentral:rRNA from 1 species
AGUGAACGCUGGCGGUAGGCCUAACACAUGCAAGUCGAACGGCAGCACAGUAAGAGCUUGCUCUUACGGGUGGCGAGUGGCGGACGGGUGAGGAAUACAUCGGAAUCUACUUUUUCGUGGGGGAUAACGUAGGGAAACUUACGCUAAUACCGCAUACGACCUACGGGUGAAAGCAGGGGAUCUUCGGACCUUGCGCGAUUGAAUGAGCCGAUGUCGGAUUAGCUAGUUGGCGGGGUAAAGGCCCACCAAGGCGACGAUCCGUAGCUGGUCUGAGAGGAUGAUCAGCCACACUGGAACUGAGACACGGUCCAGACUCCUACGGGAGGCAGCAGGGGGGAAUAUUGGACAAUGGGCGCAAGCCUGAUCCAGCCAUACCGCGUGGGUGAAGAAGGCCUUCGGGUUGUAAAGCCCUUUUGUUGGGAAAGAAAAGCAGCAGGUUAAUACCCCGCUGUUCUGACGGUACCAAAAGAAUAAGCACCGGCUAACUUCGUG